rnacentral:rRNA from 1 species
UACGUAGGAGACGAGCGUUGUCCGGAAUCACUGGGCGUAAAGCGCGUGUAGGCGGAUCGGCAAGUCUGCUGUGAAAGCUCCUGGCUUAACCGGGAGUGGUCGGUGGAAACUGCCAGUCUGGAGGACGGUAGAGGUAGGUAGAAUUCCCGGUGUAGUGGUGAAAUGCGUAGAGAUCGGGAGGAAUACCUGUGGCGAAGGCGGCCUACUGGGCCGGACCUGACGCUGAGACGCGAAGGCGUGGGAGGCGAACAGG